GUGUGUUUACAUGUGUGUGUUGUCAGUGCGAGUAGUGUAAGAUGGAGGCGGUGCGCACUCGGCGCCCGCCACGGUGCACACGGUGUUUGAACAUGACGCUCAGUGAUGAUCCUUCCGCAGGUUCACCUACGGAAA
rnacentral:misc_RNA from 1 species